rnacentral:tRNA from 1 species
ACCUGGCUGGCUCAGUCGGUUAGAGUAUGCAACUCUUGAUCUCAGGGCUGUGAGUUCAAACCCCAUGUUGGGUG